AGGCUCUUUUUAGAGUCAAAGUGGGAAGCCACUUUUUAAGGUCCAUGUUCCUUUUAUAUAUGAAGAGCUUGCCUUUAUAUAAAGGUUGUUUUAAAAACAUCUUUACUGCAGAACUAUUGAUGUAAUAUUUUGAUCCUAACAUUUUUGCUACCCCUGAUGAAGUCAAAUAGACGAAACGCGUUGGGUUUAUCAGCUACAAAUCAGUAAUCCAGUUGAGGAUAACGCUCCCUUGUACCAAGUUUACACCUUGUUAAGGUGAGGGAGUUCGUACAUCCAUAUCACCUACUGGAUAUUUAUGGAAUCAUAAAAUAAUUUGUUUUCAUGUACAAUAGUU